UACGUAGGGUGCAGGCGUUAAUCGGAAUUACUGGGCGUAAAGCGUGCGCAGGCGGUCUUUUAAGUCAGAUGGGAAAUCCCCGGGCUUAACCUGGGAACUGCGUUUGAAACUGGAAAGCUAGAGUGUGGCAGAGGGGGGUGGAAUUCCACGUGUAGCAGUGAAAUGCGCAGAUAUCAGGAAGAACACCAAUGGCGAAAGCAGCUCUCUGGGACGGUACUGACGCUGAGACGCGAAAGCGUGGGGAGCGAACAGG
rnacentral:rRNA from 1 species